rnacentral:tRNA from 1 species
GCCCCGAUAGCUCAGCCGGAUAGAGCGAUCGCCUCCUAAGCGAUAGGCCGCAGGUUCGAAUCCUGCUCGGGGCACCA